rnacentral:rRNA from 1 species
UACGAAGGGGGCUAGCGUUGCUCGGAAUCACUGGGCGUAAAGGGCGCGUAGGCGGCCAUUCAAGUCGGGGGUGAAAGCCUGUGGCUCAACCACAGAAUUGCCUUCGAUACUGUUUGGCUUGAGUUUGGUAGAGGUUGGUGGAACUGCGAGUGUAGAGGUGAAAUUCGUAGAUAUUCGCAAGAACACCAGUGGCGAAGGCGGCCAACUGGACCAACACUGACGCUGAGGGCACGAAAAGUGUGGGGAUCAAACCAGG